GAUAGCGUAACUUUGUUGGUGAGGGUAGCAUUUCUAGAGAUUUCUGAAAAUCAGUCAUAAUUUCCAAGUGCUGCGUUUCAUUACACUUUUCCUCACCCUGCUACAUCCAGGGCUUUGUUUCCAGGGUGGGCUGGAAUGCUUUAAAACAAGCACUCGUCUGUACUAUUAUUCCUUCCUUCCUCUUUGGAGCUGUGAAAGGCCACCAGGGCCUGUCUCCAGGACUCUCCCUAUAAAGAAAAAUUUCAUCAGUUUAGUCUAAAAUCAAGAGUAAUUCUGGUUGCUUCAGCUUUCCUAACCAUCAAAAAUGGCUGCACGAAAGGAAGUUCAUCUGGAUCAAGUUCUCAGUCUUACUGCCUGUUCAAGUAAGGAUGGAGGAAAUGCUUCCGGUAUUCCAGGGUUGGUGCCUGAGCUAAAGAGAUAACUGAAGCUGCCAGUCCUGCACACAGAAAGACACAUGGCCAGGGUCCAGCUGGUUGGUUCAUCUGAAGGAGUCCGAGCUCACCUGAGGAUGGGAGGACACACAGGAAAGAGAACAGGUUGUCUUCCAUGAGAACUGCUCACCAGAACAGAGAACAGCCAAUGCCAUGCUUUGUGCAACUAGGAUAAAUCAAAAUAACAGCAUCCUGACAAACAUUUGGUAGAGAGAUUGUAAUAAUUAUUGGUUUGGUUUUCGUUAACCUCUUUUUGUUUAGUCAACAUUAAGUCAAUCCACCUGGAGCUUAAUACUGUAUGUUACUAUAGUAACUUUACAGCCUAUUUGAUUGUGACAAAGGGCUUCAUCUCUUCCAUUUCAUGCUCCUGUGUCGACCUACUCCCUCCCAGUGUUUUAUUAUAUCUGUCUUUAAGAGUAUCUGCAGGAGCCACAGCUGCUGUGCUUUUGUAGCAGAAAGCAGCUUUCACUGUGUGAAAUACUCUGCACUAAAAGGUCUUACAGGCUGAUGGCAUUAUUGAAUUUCAAAGCAAAGACAAACAACAUUAAAUUGUUUAAAGCUAAUAUUCAUGUUUUGCUGUACACCAUGUUUUUUGUUUCUUUUUUUUUUCAGAAAGGAACAGUAUAUAAUCACUGGUUGAUGCCCUUGAGAACAAAACCACAAAAUAAAGCAAUGUAG
rnacentral:lncRNA from 7 species